AGGAGUUUGAUCCUGGCUCAGGACGAACGUUGGCGGUGCGCUUAAUGCAUGCAAGUCGAGGGAGAACCUUUCGAUCCGUAAGGACCGAAUGGGGAAACCGGCGAACGGGUGCGUAACACGUGAGGAACCUGCCCCGAAGACCGGGAUAGCCCGGGGAAACUCGGAUUAAUACCGGAUACCCUCCUCGGACCACAUGGUCUGUUGAGGAAAUGGUCCGCCGCUUCGGGAUGGCCUCGCGGCCUAUCAGCUUGUUGGUGAGGUAACGGCUCACCAAGGCAAAGACGGGUAGCUGGUCUGAGAGGACGAUCAGCCACACUGGGACUGAGACACGGCCCAGACUCCUACGGGAGGCAGCAGCAGGGAAUAUUGCACAAUGGGCGAAAGCCUGAUGCAGCGACACCGCGUGCGGGAUGAAGGCCCUCGGGUUGUAAACCGCUUUCAGGAGGGACGAAAAUGACGGUACCUCCAGAAGAAGGCCCGGCCAACUACGUGCCAGCAGCCGCGGUAAUACGUAGGGGCCAAACGUUGUCCGGAUUUAUUGGGCGUAAAGGGCUCGUAGGCGGUUCAACAAGUCGAUCGUGAAAGCCCGGGGCUCAACCCCGGGACGCCGGUCGAAACUGUUGUGACUAGGGUCCGGUAGAGGUGAGUGGAAUCCUCGGUGUAGCGGUGGAAUGCGCAGAUAUCGAGAGGAACACCAGU
rnacentral:rRNA from 1 species